UGCGGCCUGGCACAGAGCCCGGCCCGGCUGCGCUGUCCCUGCGAUUCGUGGGGAGGCCCCACGCUGGAGCAGGGGAAAUGUGAGAAGGAAGAAAUGGCAGAGAGGAGCUGCGAUGGACUGGGGGCAGCUUUGCUUGGGAUGAUGAGGCGUGAGUCAGGAGAGAAGGAGCAAAGCUGAGCUUGAGAAGAGGGAAGGGCUGAGUGUCAGGUAUAACAAGCAUGAUCAGGAGUUCGUAUUUAUUCCAUGACCACUGAGCACUGGAGAGCAGAAGCUGGGUAAAGUUAAGAAGAGUGAAAAGAAAAAAAAAUCCUCAAGGGAAAGCUACUGUUUGUUUUAAGCGGAAACCAAGACGUGCAGAACACUUUAUUAUCCAGAGGAGCAAUGGAAUCUUCUGAAGGCAACAAGGAAGACCCACUUACAUAGAAUCUCUGGAUUUAUUUUUGUCUCAGAAAAGCAUGAAUGUAAAGAAUAUUCGAGAUUUUGAGGGGACCUCUCUAAAUUAAUUUUCAAGUCAGUUGAUUUAUGAGAUUAGAAUCAGAAAACCCAACACUUCCUCCUAAUUAAAAGAUGGCAAUUUCUUUUUUCACUCUGUGGCGUGUACAAUCACAAAAACUCAGACUUUCAGUAUUUGUUGCUCUGAGACUUUUUCAAAAUAUAAACAGGAUUACAAAUUCAACACAGACUUCAGACAGGUGGAUUGAAUGUUCAGGGAAAAAUCCUGGGGAAACUCCACUGAAAUAAGUGGAAAUACUCAAGGAAAAAGGUGCAGUCAUAAUUCAACAAAUAUUUUCCAUGAGGUAAAUGUUUAUGGGUGAAUUGUUUCAUUUCCACAAUAAACAAAAAAUGAGCUCAUUGUCAGUAAGGUAGUUAAUUUUGAGAAGCUAUAAAUAACCAAUACUGCAUUUUGUUAUAUAUUCUGAGAGACAGUUCAGGAAUAGAUAAGUGUUCUCAAAGCAGACAAAUAAGUUCUAAUAACUUUCUGUUCACAAAUAAGAGCUAAGAACUUUCUAUUCACUUGCAUUUUUCUUAACUGAACAAUAUAUGGGUUUUGUAAGUAAUAAUACAUCAUGGACAUUUUCUAAGUAACCAGUCUUAACUGGCUGGGAUUGCAUUGAUGCUGCAAACAUGUGUGACCCAGUUGCUGUGAAGCCCAAGGAGCACAUAUUAAUGAGCAGCAAAUUUUAUGAAUGCAAAGAAGUGCAAUUGCUGUGUAGGAAUACUCAGUCAACUUUUCGAGUUCUGCCACUUCAAAAGGGUCAUGGGACAAGCAAGCUAAAAAGAGUUUAUAGCCACCCCCACCCAAUCCUAUAGUGCAACAAAAGGGCAAAGACUUGUUUUGCCUUCUGCUAAUUAAAAUGGCCAUUCACUGGAAGGUAUUGUGGGAAUAUACACUUACAAUCAAGUCUGUCCUCAGUUUAAGUUAAGCUACAGGAUUGUUAUAAUAGGGCUUCAAGUGGGGGAAAGAAAGGCUCUUUUCUGUCUUCUCUGUAUUUGAAAUGCAGUUCGUAAGCCUUCCUGUAAAUUUGUUUUGUUUUGUGAUGAGUUUCAUACAGAAAAUUUAAGCAAAUAUUAAUAAUGAUGCAUGUUUCACAAAAACAACAGAUGUGUCUCCAAUGGAGUUCCUGAGGUUUGAGAUUUUUAUCACAGAAUGAUGCUCUGCAAUUCACCUGCUCCCAGCCUCCUCACAUUUCAGUUUGGUGGAUGUUACCUCAGAGUUUUCAAGCACAUUACUUACUGAGAAAAGGCAUUCCAAAACCUGCAAUACUUGAAACAUUAAUUUAGAAAAUAUAAUUUGAAUGUAUAGUGUAACUGAUGUUUUAGUUCAUAUCAUUUCUUUAAGAAAAAGUAUGUUUGAUAUGUUUCUGUGAAACAUUAUUUUAAUAAGAGUUAAGGACAAGUGAUAAUUAACGGGACUUGAAAAAGAAUCUGAGACACCACAUUUAUUUACAUUUUUUAAGAAAUAAUGAAUAUUUAGAUGUGUGUGAGACACAAAAAUUUAAGAUUUAGACUCAAAACUGUUUUGACAUUUCAGGAAUACUAGAUUCUGAAUCCUCUACUUGUUGUUUUUAAAUAGUCCUACAAGAAAUAUACAAUGCAUUUUUAAGUAGAUUAUUUUUUAUACUUUUGCUUAGAUCCCUGAAUAGAGGGGCUUAUCACUUUUUUUUUCUGAUAAAAAUAGGUUAUUCUAACUGCACAGGUUCAUCUUUUGAUGUUCUUAUAGAUGUCAAUCUAGAUAGAUCAUAGCUCAGGAAUAAUUUUUCUCUCUUCUUGGAUGUUUACUUGAGAUUUUGUCCAGUCAAUUUUUUCCAUGUUUAGUUAGUCCCAGGAUAGGCAUUGCAUUCAAGAAUCAAAAUUAAACAAUCAAGUUUGCCCAUUACACCAAGGUGUAUGGGGCAGUUGACACACUGAUGGAAGGGAUACCGUCCAGAGAGACCUUGACAGGCUUGAGACAUGGAGUCGUGCAAACUUUGUGAAGUUCCACAAGACCAAGUGUAAGGUCCUGCACAUUGGUCAGGGCAAUCAAGCACAAAUUCAGUCUAGAUGGAGAUGGGAUCAAGAGCAGUGCUGAGGAGAAGGACUUGGGGGUGUUGGUAGGUGAGAAGCUUGACAUGACCUGUCAGUGCACACUUGAAUCCCAGAAAGCCAACUGUAUCCUGGGCUGCAUCAAAAGAAGGAUGACCAGCACGUCUGAUUCUACUGCUGUACUGCGCCUUUGUGAGACCCUGCCUGGGGUAGUGAAUACAACUCUGGGGCCCCCAAGACAAGAUGUGCACCUGCUGGAGGGGAUCCAGGGGAGGCUCAUUAAGAUGAUCAGAAGAAUGGAGCACCUCUCCUUUGAAGGCAGGCGAGGAGAGUUGGGGUUUUUUAGCCUGGAGAAGUCCCUGGAGAGAGCUUACAGCACUCUCCAAUACCUAAAGGUAAAGUCCCUCUCCAUCCAAGAAAGAUGGAGAGGGACUUUUCACUAGGGCAUGUGGUAAUAGGACAAGAUUUUAAACUGAAAAAGAGUAGUUUUAGAAAAUAUAUAAGAAAGAAAUCCUUAAUUAUGAGAGGGGUGGUGCAUUGGAACAGAUUGCCCAGAGAAACUGUGGGUGCCGCAUCCCUGGAAAUGUUCAAGGCCAGGUUAGAUGGGGCUCUCAGCAGCCUGGUCCAGUGGAAAGUGUCCCUGCCCAUGGCAGAGGGGCUGGAUCUAGGUAAUCUUUAAGGUCACUUCAAACCCAAACCUUUCUCUGAUUCUAUUAUUAUAUAAAUGUCUACCCGAUCAUAUAGAUAACAUACUGAUUACAGCAAGCUGCUUGUUCUUUAUAUGCAGCUCUUCCUACUAAAAAUCAUUUCACAACACCUUUUGACUUCUAAUUUGUAUGUCUUACAGCACCUUUCAUGGAAAACACUGAUCACAUUACCAGUAAAAGGGAUAUUUCAACUAUACAAUCUUUUGUUGUAGCAUGCCAGUAGUGGUGCUCUCAUUCUUGCUUUAUCUAAGAAACUGUUUGCAUAGAUUUCCUGUGAGAUGCUUUGUUUUAUUGUUGAUCACAGAAAUCCCUAUGAAUAUUAGGUACCUGAAAGGUUUUGGCAUCAUGACUGUUUUCUAUUGGCAUUGUUUGAUACUUCUAUUCCUCCUACAACAUUCCUUACAUCACUUUGAUGUUGGUGCAUAUACACGUUGUGUAAUGUAUUGUAUGAAAUAUUGAAUGUUAAUUGAUUUUAAAUAAUGUUAUUUCUAACAUAACAAAAAUAUCUUGAUUGUGAAAAUACUAAAAUGGAUAAUAAAGAGAGUCUGCAACUGGAUGCUUGGGCACAUUGAUGACAGUUUUGAAUCUAUUAGAUUAUGAGUGCCAUAGUGUUUUGCAUCUGUGAUUACAUUCAGAAGUUUAAAAAAAGUAGGCAGGGAGGAAAACAGUGGAAAAAAAAGACAGGAUUGAAAAACCUGACAUCUGCAGAGGGUGAGGAAGGAUCUACAGAGAAUUGUGUUUCUGUCAGCAAGGAAUUAUUGCAUGACAGCAGACCAUAAACUGCAAGGUAAGAACCUUUACAUUUUUCGGUAACUAGAAGCACAGUUGUGUCUGUUUCUGAUACUCAGAGCCAGACUUUCCUGUCACCAGCUAUUUUCUCUGAACAUAUGUCAAGUGCUGCUGAAGGUAUCAGCAUAGCAGACUGAAAAAAAAUCUGCUUUGGAACAAAAGCAUCAAGUGUCUUUUUCUUUGUAAACAAUAUCAC